rnacentral:ncRNA from 1 species
AUUUGUUUGGUUAAUUCUGAUAACAAAUGAGACCUCAGACUACUAACUAGCUACGUGGAGGUUCCCCUUCAUGGACAGCUUCUUAGAGGGGCUAUGGUCAUUUAGGCCAUGGAAUUUUGAGGCAAUAACAGGUCUGUGAUGCCCUUAGAUGUUCUGGGCCACACGCGUGCUACACUGAUGCGGUCCAUAAGUUUUUCUCCCUAGUUCAAGAGGAUCAGGAAAUCUUCUCAAAUUGCAUAAUGAUGGGGAUAGACCAUUGCAAUUAUUGGUCUUCAAUGAGGAAUUCCUAGUAAGCACGUGUCAUCAGCUCGUGUUGACUAUGUCCCUGCCCUUUGUACACACCGCCCGUCACUCCUACCGAUUGAAUGAUCUGGUGAAGUGUUUGGAUCGUGUCAACGAGGGUGGUUCGCGGUCGAUGAUGUCGUGAGAAGUUCACUGAACCUUAUCAUUUAGAGGAAGGAGAAGUCAUAACAAGGUUACCGUAGGUGAACCUGCGGUAGGAUUAUUG